GAUCCUGGCUCAGGAUGAACGCUGGCGGCGUGCCUAACACAUGCAAGUCGAACGGAGUCGUUUUGGAAAUCUCUUCGGAGAUGGAAUUCUCGACUUAGUGGCGGACGGGUGAGUAACGCGUGAGCAAUCUGCCUUUGAGAGGGGGAUAACAGUCGGAAACGGCUGCUAAUACCGCAUAAAGCAUCAAAUUCGCAUGUUUUUGAUGCCAAAGGAGCAAUCCGCUUUUAG
rnacentral:rRNA from 1 species